GGCAGUCUAGUGGCUAAGCUGCAUGACCAGGACCCCUGAGGUUCUGGGUUCAAGUCCCAGUCUAGCCA